GAAAGUGUAUACAAAUUAUGUGUUCACUAGGAGGGGUGGGGCAAAGGGGGGAAAUGGCUAAAAUAGUUCGUGUGCUCCAGCUUAGAGGUCGCGUCAGUUGCAAAGAAAUCUGUAAAUUUAAAGGAAUCUGUCACACAUUUUGCUAAAAGUAAAGAAGGUUCACUUAAAAAUAAUCGACGUGCGCACACUUCUCUUUUUAAUUCUUUGAUUUAUCAACAGCCGAUUAUUUUGCUGUCGUUGCGGUUUUUGGCGACAUUUUGUUUUAAUGUGUUUUAAAGACUUCAGAAAACGAUUUAACGUGAUUUUUUGGAUGUUUUUGUGAUCAAACAUCUCUACUUUUAUAUGGAUCUUUUAUUUGAAUCUAGUGUAUAGUGUGAAUGACAGUGUUUUAAUGAAGGAUGAAUCAACUUAAGGCAAAUUAAGAUAUUAAUAUAAUCAUAUUACACCAAGAAGGAUCACACAAACUUAGGAGAUGAAGACCGUCCUUGGAGAUGAUAACGGUUCUUGGGAUGUAAUUGAAAAUCCCAUGAAGACGAGUUAAAUAUAAUGUGCAGUAAUUAAUAGGUAUAUCAUAAUAAUAAAUAAAUUUAUUGUAGUUGCGAA